rnacentral:rRNA from 1 species
CUACGGGAGGCAGCAGUGAGGAAUAUUGGUCAAUGGGCGUAAGCCUGAACCAGCCAAGUCGCGUGAGGGAUGAAGGUUCUAUGGAUCGUAAACCUCUUUUAUAAGGGAAUAAAGUGUGGGACGUGUCCUAUUUUGUAUGUACCUUAUGAAUAAGGAUCGGCUAACUCCGUGCCAGCAGCCGCGGUAAUACGGAGGAUCCGAGCGUUAUCCGGAUUUAUUGGGUUUAAAGGGUGCGUAGGCGGCCUUUUAAGUCAGCGGUGAAAGUCUGUGGCUCAACCAUAGAAUUGCCGUUGAAACUGGGGGGCUUGAGUAUGUUUGAGGCAGGCGGAAUGCGUGGUGUAGCGGUGAAAUGCUUAGAUAUCACGCAGAACCCCGAUUGCGAAGGCAGCCUGCCAAGCCAUGACUGACGCUGAUGCACGAAAGC